rnacentral:rRNA from 1 species
CUACGUAGGGUGCGAGCGUUGUCCGGAAUUACUGGGCGUAAAGAGCUCGUAGGUGGUUUGUCGCGUCGUCUGUGAAAUUCCGGGGCUUAACUCCGGGCGUGCAGGCGAUACGGGCAUAACUUGAGUACUGUAGGGGAGACUGGAAUUCCUGGUGUAGCGGUGAAAUGCGCAGAUAUCAGGAGGAACACCGGUGGCGAAGGCGGGUCUCUGGGCAGUAACUGACGCUGAGGAGCGAAAGCAUGGGUAGCGAACAGGAUUAGAUACCCUGGUAGUCCAUGCCGUAAACGGUGGGCGCUAGGUGUAGGGGUCUUCCACGACUUCUGUGCCGUAGCUAACGCAUUAAGCGCCCCGCCUGGGGAGUACGGC